rnacentral:rRNA from 1 species
UACGGGGGGGGCAAGCGUUGUUCGGAAUUACUGGGCGUAAAGGGCUCGUAGGUGGCCAACUAAGUCAGACGUGAAAUCCCUCGGCUUAACCGGGGAACUGCGUCUGAUACUGGAUGGCUUGAGAUUGGGAGAGGGAUGCGGAAUUCCAGGUGUAGCGGUGAAAUGUGUAGAGAUCCCGAGGAAUACCAGUGGUGAAGACGGCGCCCUGGGUCUGUACUGACGCUGAGAUGCGAAAGCGUGGGGAGCGAACGGG